GCGGCCGCGCGGGACGGUUGGAGAGGAGACUCGGGGACAGACGGUGUCCAGGUUAGGCUGGAGUCUGUGACCUGUGGACACCUCGGACCGGUAGAGGUGGGGCGCGCUUAGACAGUUGGGAAUUUUAGACUGGGUGUGAACCCCUGCCAUGGGCUCCUCAGCAUCUUCUCCUGCUACUGCAGUAAACACCUCAAAUGCUUCAGAUCAUCAGCCAGCUUCAGCUUCACCCCCUUCAGGAUGUCCAAUGCAUGAAGGGCAAAGGAAAGGCUGUCCAGUGACUGCAGCAGCAUCUGACCUGACCAGUGAGAGCAAAGCACACUCUGUACCUGCCCACCAAGACCGGGCCUAUGAGUAUGUGGAGUGCCCUGUGACCGGUGCUGCAGCCAAGAAUA
rnacentral:lncRNA from 1 species